UACGGAGGAUGCAAGCGUUAUCCGGAAUGAUUGGGCGUAAAGCGUCCGCAGGUGGCUGUGUAAGUCUGCUGUUAAAGAGUCAUGCUCAACAUGAUAAGAGCAGUGGAAACUACACGGCUAGAGUGCGUUCGGGGCAGAGGGAAUUCCUGGUGUAGCGGUGAAAUGCGUAGAGAUCAGGAAGAACACCGGUGGCGAAAGCGCUCUGCUAGGCCGUAACUGACACUGAGGGACGAAAGCUAGGGGAGCGAAUGGG
rnacentral:rRNA from 1 species